GCCCUCGUAGCACAGUGGUAGUGGUAAGUUAUACGUCCUACAGAUCGAUGUUCCCGAAUCUUCCUAACAUGGCAUAGCGUGUCACUCGUAAUGACAAGGUCGUCUGUUCGAUCCAGGCCGCGGGCA
rnacentral:tRNA from 1 species